CCGAGUUAGGGUCUUUAUGGCUCGACCUCCAACCCUUUGUUUAUUAUACCAUGUUGCUUUGGCGGGCCUGUCUUUCGGGGCUGCCGGGGGCACUAUUGCCCCUGACCCGUGCCCGCCAGGAGCCUUCCUUAAAUUCUGUGUUAAACUCUGCUGUCUGAGUCCCCGUAUCAAAUUAUCAA
rnacentral:misc_RNA from 1 species